rnacentral:piRNA from 1 species
UGUGGAAGGUGGACUUGAAGGUGGA